rnacentral:rRNA from 1 species
GAUGAACGCUGGCGGCGUGCCUAAUACAUGCAAGUAGAACGCUGAAGGAGGAGCUUGCUCUUCUGGAUGAGUUGCGAACGGGUGAGUAACGCGUAGGUAACCUGCCUGGUAGCGGGGGAUAACUAUUGGAAACGAUAGCUAAUACCGCAUGACAACAGUUAUUGCAUGAUAACUGUUUAAAAGGGGCAACUGCUCCACUACCAGAUGAACCUGCGUUGUAUUAGCUAGUUGGUGAGGUAACGGCUCACCAAGGCGACGAUACAUAGCCGACCUGAGAGGGUGAUCGGCCACACUGGGACUGAGACACGGCCCAGACUCCUACGGGAGGCAGCAGUAGGGAAUCUUCGGCAAUGGACGGAAGUCUGACCGAGCAACGCCGCGUGAGUGAAGAAGGUUUUCGGAUCGUAAAGCUCUGUUGUAAGAGAAGAACGAGUGUGAGAGUGGAAAGUUCACACUGUGACGGUAUCUUACCAGAAAGGGACGGCUAACUACGUG